rnacentral:rRNA from 1 species
UACAGAGGGGCAAGCGUUGUUCGGAAUUACUGGGCGUAAAGGGCGCGUAGGCGGCCUGUUAAGUCGAACGUGAAAUCCCCGGGCUCAACCCGGGAACUGCGUCCGAUACUGGCAGGCUUGAAUUCGGGAGAGGGAUGCGGAAUUCCAGGUGUAGCGGUGAAAUGCGUAGAUAUCAGGAGGAACACCGGUGGCGAAGGCGGAUCUCUGGGCCAUUACUGACGUGAGGAGCGAAAGCGUGGGGAGCGAACGG